rnacentral:rRNA from 1 species
CGAUUCUGACAUGUGACGGAGUUCAGACGUGUGCUCUUCAGAUCUAAUACCGGAUAAUAUUUUGAACCGCAUGGUUCAAAAGUGAAAGACGGUCUUGCUGUCACUUAUAGAUGGAUCCGCGCUGCAUUAGCUAGUUGGUAAGGUAACGGCUUACCAAGGCAACGAUGCAUAGCCGACCUGAGAGGGUGAUCGGCCACACUGGGACUGAGACACGGCCCAGACUCCUACGGGAGGCAGCAGUAGGGAAUCUUCGGCAAUGGACGGAAGUCUGACCGAGCAACGCCGCGUGAGUGAAGAAGGUUUUCGGAUCGUAAAGCUCUGUUGUAAGAGAAGAACGAGUGUGAGAGUGGAAAGUUCACACUGUGACGGUAUCUUACCAGAAAGGGACGGCUAACUACGUGCCAGCAGCCGCGGUAAUACGUAGGUCCCGAGCGUUAUCCGGAUUUAUUGGGCGUAAAGCGAGCGCAGGCGGUUAGAUAAGUCUGAAGUUAAAGGCUGUGGCUUAACCAUAGUACGCUUUGGAAACUGUUUAACUUGAGUGCAAGAGGGGAGAGUGGAAUUCCAUGUGUAGCGGUGAAAUGCGUAGAUAUAUGGAGGAACACCGGUGGCGAAAGCGGCUCUCUGGCUUGUAACUGACGCUGAGGCUCGAAAGCGUGGGGAGCAAACAGGAUUAGUUACCCUGGUAGUCCAUGC